CCCAGAAGCCAGAACAGCAAGAGGGAUUGCUGCUUUCACUGAACAGUGAUCCCUCUUGCUGUUCUGGCUUCUGAG